rnacentral:lncRNA from 1 species
UCCCUGAUUGCCAUGGUACAGAUUAUUGUCCCACAGACAUUAUCCCUGGACUUCAAGACAUGCAUAGUAGAAAGAACAUUUUCUACUUUCUACCCUUUUAGCAGUUUGAGGUUUCAGUGUAUCAUAUCCAGAGAAAGUCCUAAUGCUUGUGAAUGUUGAGCCCAAAAGCUAUAUGACAGGUAACUGGGAGAGUACCAAACUAAAAGAGAAACAAUGUUAGAUUCUUGAGCAAAACAAUGCCGACUCUAACCUUAGUUCCCAAAGUCUUGAUCAAAGGAUGUCCCUUAUGUCAGACUGAAAUAACCUCUUUCCAAUUCCCUCCAACAGCUUAUCCAGAGGGUGGUAAUAUGGUGUAUCUGUUUGAAGGACCACUGGAAUUGAAAGCAGGUUACAUAUUUCCAAGCAAGUUGUAGCAGCUGCAACUGGCAUACUGUCCAAUUUUUUUAGGACUUCCUUUAACUGGGGCACCUUUGUACAUCAUAGGCCAGAAGUGCUAGGGCAUGUAUUCCUUGCCCCACCUGAGACUAGCCCUCAACCAAUGACUGAAGACUGUUGGGAUGUAAAUACCCCAGCCCCUCACCCCUUGGUGGACUGAAGGAGGCAUGUUCUAUACUGGCUCUGAGUUCUUCUGUGAGGUGAUGCUCCAGUUGUCCAUGGUGUUAACUAGUUGCUAGCCUACUUUUGUUGGCCACCUUUCGUUCUCUAUCUCACACUGUUCUCAACUCUUAACCAUUGCUUCCUAGAAUCACUCCCCCAGUAAGUAAUUUGCACAAAUAUUCCUAUCUUAGAGUCUGCUUCUGGGAGAAGCCCAAGCAAAUUCAAAGUUCUGGUGCUGGUCAAUUAUAGAUAUAAUAAUGCACCAGAGGAAAUACAACAGUAUCAUUCAAGACUAAAUAGUCUCUUUCUUUGUCCUUCUACUGAUAUUUUGCUAAUAUCAAAGGGGUUAAGAACAGGAAGGGGGGCCUUAAAACCUGAGACUCAAUUGC